AUUGAACGCUGGCGGCAGGCCUAACACAUGCAAGUCGAACGGUAACAGGAAGCAGCUUGCUGCUUUGCUGACGAGUGGCGGACGGGUGAGUAAUGUCUGGGAAACUGCCCGAUGGAGGGGGAUAACUACUGGAAACGGUAGCUAAUACCGCAUAACGUCGCAAGACCAAAGAGGGGGACCUUAGGGCCUCUUGCCAUCGGAUGUGCCCAGAUGGGAUUAGCUAGUAGGUGGGGUAACGGCUCACCUAGGCGACGAUCCCUAGCUGGUCUGAGAGGGUGACCGGCCACACUGGAACUGAGACACGGUCCAGACUCCUACGGGAGGCAGCAGUAGGGAAUAUUGCACAAUGGGCGCAAGCCUGAUGCAGCCAUGCCGCGUGUAUGAAGAAGGCCUUCGGGUUGUAAAGUACUUUCAGCGGGGAGGAAGAGAGUAAAGUUAAUACCUUUGCUCAUUGACGUUACCCGCAGAAGAAGCACCGGCUAACUCCGUG
rnacentral:rRNA from 1 species